rnacentral:rRNA from 1 species
UACAGAGGUCCCAAGCGUUGUUCGGAUUCACUGGGCGUAAAGGGUGCGUAGGUGGCGAGGUAAGUCGGAUGUGAAAGCUCGGAGCUCAACUCCGAAAUGGCAUUGGAAACUACCUUGCUCGAGGGUUGGAGGGGGGACUGGAAUGCUUGGUGUAGCAGUGAAAUGCGUAGAUAUCAGGAGGAACACCAAUGGCGAAGGCAGCACUCUGGGACGUGACUGACGCUGAGACGCGAAAGCGUGGGGAGCAAACAGG